GACGAACGCUGGCGGCGUGCUUAACACAUGCAAGUCGAACGGAAAGGCCCUGCUUUUGUGGGGUGCUCGAGUGGCGAACGGGUGAGUAACACGUGAGUAACCUGCCCUUGACUUUGGGAUAACUUCAGGAAACUGGGGCUAAUACCGGAUAGGAGCUCCUGCUGCAUGGUGGGGGUUGGAAAGUUUCGGCGGUUGGGGAUGGACUCGCGGCUUAUCAGCUUGUUGGUGGGGUAGUGGCUUACCAAGGCUUUGACGGGUAGCCGGCCUGAGAGGGUGACCGGCCACAUUGGGACUGAGAUACGGCCCAGACUCCUACGGGAGGCAGCAGUGGGGAAUAUUGCACAAUGGGCGGAAGCCUGAUGCAGCAACGCCGCGUGCGGGAUGACGGCCUUCGGGUUGUAAACCGCUUUCGCCUGUGACGAAGCGUGAGUGACGGUAAUGGGUAAGGAAGCACCGGCUGACUACGUG
rnacentral:rRNA from 1 species